rnacentral:rRNA from 1 species
UAACACGUAGGGGGCGAGCGUUGUCCGGAUUUAUUGGGCGUAAAGGGCUCGUAGGUGGUUCAGCAAGUCAACUGUGAAAGUCCGGGGCUCAACCCCGGGAGGCCAGUCGAAACUGCUGUGACUAGGGUCCGGUAGAGGUGAGUGGAAUUCUCGGUGUAGCGGUGAAAUGCGCAGAUAUCGAGAGGAACACCAGUAGCGAAGGCGGCUCACUGGGCCGGUACCGACACUGAGGAGCGAAAGCGUGGGGAGCAAACAGGAUUAGAUACCCUGGUAGUCCACGCCGUAAACGUUGAACACUAGGUGUGGCGGACUUAUCCACGUCUGCCGUGCCGCAGCUAACGCAUUAAGUGUUCCGCCUGGGGAGUACGGCCGCAAGGCUA